ACCUAAAAGCUGUCAAAGACAACAGAAGAACACAUUGUCUCACGCGCACACUGUAGACUUACGUGGCAAAAAAAAAAGUACUUGCAUA